GGGGACGACCUGGUUUCGACGUGGGUUGCAAAGCAGCGCAGGGCAUACCGAGGCCAGACUACCUCGUAAAUACAAUCUGAACUUUAUAACUGCAAACGAUAACUCGUACGCAUUAGCCGCUUAAUACCGGCUAACUCUACACUAUCUCUUCCCUAGGGUAGGCUGGCAACAGCAGUAGAGUCAUUCAUAGGGAAUCGUCUCAAGUCGGGUCACUUGGCUUGGGACUAAAUAAUAGGUGGCUCGCCUGUCCGCAGCGUGCGCGUCCGCGUCGUCCAGGUUAAAUCAAAUGGCAGCGCUAAGUAUGUAGAACUGUCUGUAGAGUGCUUGCGGACGCGGGUUCGAUUCCCGCCGUCUCCACCA
rnacentral:tmRNA from 1 species